CGUAGGGUGCAAGCGUUAAUCGGAAUUACUGGGCGUAAAGCGUGCGCAGGCGGUUUUGUAAGUCUGUCGUGAAAUCCCCGGGCUCAACCUGGGAAUUGCGAUGGAGACUGCAAGGCUAGAAUCUGGCAGAGGGGGGUAGAGUUCCACGUGUAGCAGUGAAAUGCGUAGAGAUGUGGAGGAACACCGAUGGCGAAGGCAGCCCCCUGGGUCAAGAUUGACGCUCAUGCACGAAAGCGUGGGGAGCAAACAGGAUUAGAUACCCUGGUAGUCCACGCCCUAAACGAUGUCUACUAGUUGUCGGGUCUUAAUUGACUUGGUAACGCAGCUAACGCGUGAAGUAGACCGCCUGGGGAGUACGGUCGCAAGAUUA
rnacentral:rRNA from 1 species